AUGCCGGAUCUCCCGGAUUAUCUAAUACCAAGACUAAAAAUGCGAUUCCGGAAUGUAGAGAAAGCAAGGAAAUUUUAUAACAGAUACGCUAGACACGUAGGUUUUGGAAUCAGGAAGACAGGAGGGAAUGACAAUCAUAAGUAUUUUGUUUGCGCGUUCCAAGGGAAACACACGACUUCUGUUUCAGAGGCUGACAGGAAACGAAACAAAACAUCGUAGAGGACAGGGUGCAAUGCCAGAAUGAGGGUGAAGAUGCAGGAGGAUGACAGAUGUGUGGUAGUGGACAUUGAGUACAAUCAUAAUCACCACCUCAUGCAAUCUGAUGACAUGCUGGUAUUCUUGCACUCACACAAGAAUUAUGACCCCACUAUUCUGGAGUACGUAAAUCUCCUGCAGUACCAUGAUGUCAAGCAUACAACAAUCAUGUCCAUGUUAUCUAAAAAUUAAUAUGGAAGCUACUUCAUAAGUAUGACCGGACGAGACCUACUAAACCAGAAAGCAAUGAAUGCAAGGAAAGAUGAUUUGGAUGAUGUAUUGAAACUUGUAUCUUUCUUUAAAGACAUGAAGGCAAUCAAUGAUGAGUUUUUCUAUGACAUACAAGUAGACAACGACAAAACAGUUAAAAACAUUUUCUGGUCCAAUGCAAGAUGUCGAGGAGCAUAUCAAGACUUUGGCGAUUGCGUCACAUUCGACACAAAUUACAAGACCAACAGAUUUCAUAUGCCUCUAGGAGUGUUUGUUGGAACAAACCUUCACUUGCAGUAAACGAUAUUUGUUGUUGCCAUAAUUAGGGAUGAAGAUGAAAAGUCAAUCAAGUGGUUGUUCGAUACAUUUGUACGGUGCAUGAACAACAAACAUCCAACUUGCAUUCUAACAGACCAGUGCCCAUCGAUGGUGAAAGCUAUGCCACAAUCAUUCCCAAACACCGUCCACAAGCUAUGUCGAUGGCACAUCCUGAAGAACAUCAAGGAAUACCUCGCAUUGUUGUACAAAAAGUAUAAAACAUUCAAAGAGGAGUUCAGAGCGAUCUUAAAAUGGUCGCUAAUGCCUACAGAGUUUGAAACUGUCUGGGCUACACUUGUGCAGAAGUUCAACCUGCAAACGACCAGAUGA
rnacentral:rRNA from 1 species